UUCUGCUAUGGGAAUGGAUAAUCUAUACAGUCCCAUCUUCACAUUGCAAUUGCAUACAAGACAAAAUUCUCUAAAUAGAAAAAAAAAUAAUUGAAAUAUGUUAUUUUUUUAAAUGUAAAUUGAUUCCAUACUAGGGGAGUGAAAGUUGCAUUCUAAUUGCUUAAUAUGAAAAGAGACAUAAAUUUAGUUCCUAAAGUCACACAAAUUAUUGCUAGUGGAGAAAAAGAAACGAAAUCCGUGACCUCAUCUAGAAAAAAUAAAUUUACAGAAUCAAUAUAUGAUUAACUCGCUAAUAUUAAAGUAAUACAGAUAUAUAUAAAAUCUCGAGUUUGAAUCUCAGUUUUCAAUUCCAACCAUAAAUAAAGGGUUUUGUUGGGUUUUGUUCCUUUUCCUCUCUGCAUAAUUAAUCAUGGUGCUCAUCAUAGCCAUUGCAGUAGUUCUUAGUUUACUAAGCAAUGAAGCAAGCCAUGUCCUUGGGGACAUUGGUACUGCUACUUCUUAUGAUCCUCCUUAUAUACGUGAGUAAUUAAUUUUCUUUUUCUUUUUUUUUUCCAAUAUAUAUGAUUUUCACACGCAGAGAGAGAAUGAUUAAAUUAAUCAUAUGUGUUUUUGCAGCUACAAGGUGUUAUGGGAAUAGAGGAGAUCAGUUCCCUCCAGGAAACUUGUUUGUAGCAGUGAGUGUGGGGCUAUGGGAUAAUGGGGCAGCUUGUGGAAGGCGUUACAGGUUGAGGUGCUUAAGUGGAAAUGAUAAACCAUGCAAAGAGGGUAGUGUUAUUGAUGUGAAGGUGGUGGAUUAUUGCCCAAAAUCUCCAUGCCCUUCUACCAUCCUCUUGUCUAAUGAUGCAUUUUCUGCUGUUUCUCGCUCUUCCACUGCCAGAAUCAACGUUGAAUACAUCCAGUACAUAAGAGUUUUUGAAUUCUAUCUUCUUCUAACAGUACUUGUUAAUUGUAUUAAUUGCUUCUUGAUCUAUAUAUUAAUUAAUUAAAAGUUUAAAAAUGUUUCUGCAGGAUAUGACAUGUACCCAGUUAAUAAUUAGCAGCGAAGAAGAAGAACAAAAAAAGUGGUCCAUGUCCAUGCUCAUAUGCUUCUUCUGUGUAGUGAUUGAUGUUCUAUGCAAGUGUUUGCAAUAAAGUAUGUUAAAAUUAUUAAUACCUAAUCUCAGGAAUCUAUUAACAUUUGGUUUAUUUGAAAAAUCAGAUUCUAAUGAAUUAUAUGUAUAUGCCGAUUAACGUAUUAUUUUUCAAAGGAUGCUCCUCCCACUAUCAAUAGAAGAAAUAUUUCAUGGUAAUAAUAUUUCAUUUUAGAGCAUCAAAAUUAAGACUACAAUGUUUUGAGAAAAUGCAAUAAUAUUCUAUUUUAGUGACAACAAAAAGGAGGAAAAAUCAAUGAAUUAGAGAUAUGAGGCACAAACAUCAUUAUUACACAUAUUGGAACUUCCGAGGGCAUAAUCUAGACUAUUAAGUACAAUGACUUACCAUUCAUGGUGAUACUUGAGAUUGUAAAAUGGUUCGACUAUUUCCAAAUCCUUUGCUCUGCCUUUGGAAAUAAGGGUGAAGCAUUCUAACUCCUUCCAGGUAUAAAGGUGUCUGCAUUUCGAUCAAGCGUGAAACUGCCCGGCGGAAGGCAAACAUCUCUUCUUGACCAGAUAGCAUGGAAAUUAUGCCAGUUGGUGCACCUCCAGAUCCCACAGUGCCUUCAGCUAAGACAUCUCUUCGAAGCUUUCCACCUUCUGUCUCUGUUUCAAAUUGGAAACUGGAC
rnacentral:misc_RNA from 1 species